rnacentral:rRNA from 1 species
AUGAACGCUGGCGGCGUGCCUAAUACAUGCAAGUCGUGCGAACGGACUAGGAGCUUGCUUCUCUGAUGUUAGCGGCGGACGGGUGAGUAACACGUGGAUAACCUACCUAUAAGACUGGGAUAACUUCGGGAAACCGGAGCUAAUACCGGAUAAUAUUUUGAACCGCAUGGUUCAAAAGUGAAAGACGGUCUUGCUGUCACUUAUAGAUGGAUCCGCGCUGCAUUAGCUAGUUGGUAAGGUAACGGCUUACCAAGGCAACGAUGCAUAGCCGACCUGAGAGGGUGAUCGGCCACACUGGAACUGAGACACGGUCCAGACUCCUACGGGAGGCAGCAGUAGGGAAUCUUCCGCAAUGGGCGAAAGCCUGACGGAGCAACGCCGCGUGAGUGAUGAAGGUCUUCGGAUCGUAAAACUCUGUUAUUAGGGAAGAACAUAUGUGUAAGUAACUGUGCACAUCUUGACGGUACCUAAUCAGAAAGCCACGGCUAACUACGUG